AUCAGAGCACAACGUAAGGGAGCUGGAUCAGUCUUCCGCUCUCACACUCACCACAGGAAGGGCGCUGCCCGUUUCCGCUCCCUCGACUUCGGCGAGCGAAAUGGUUACCUGAAAGGUGUGGUCAGCGAAAUCAUUCACGAUCCGGGCAGAGGUGCUCCGUUGGCCCGCGUUACUUUCCGCCAUCCCUUCCGUUACAAGCACCAGAAGGAACUGUUCAUCGCCGCUGAGGGUAUGUACACUGGUCAGUUUGUGUACUGUGGGAAAAAGGCUAAUCUUGUUGUUGGUAAUGUGCUUCCCAUUAGAGCCAUUCCUGAAGGUGCUGUGGUUUGUAAUGUUGAGCACCAUGUUGGUGACCGAGGUGUGUUCGCUAGAUGCUCUGGUGAUUAUGCU
rnacentral:misc_RNA from 1 species